UACAGAGGGGGCGAGCGUUGUUCGGAAUUACUGGGCGUAAAGGGCGCGUAGGCGGGCGAUCAAGUCAGGGGGUGAAAUCUCCGGGCUCAACCCGGAAACUGCCAUUGAUACUAUUAGUCUUGAAUUUUGUUGAGGUAGGCGGAAUAAGUCAUGUAGCGGUGAAAUGCUUAGAUAUGACUUAGAACACCAAUUGCGAAGGCAGCUUGCUAAACAAAUAAUUGACGCUGAGGCACGAAAGCGUGGGGAUCAAACAGG
rnacentral:rRNA from 1 species